CGACUCUGCUGGUUUCUCCUUCCUGGAGACAGACAGUGAAAAAGAGAGAAAGAGGCUUUGAAGUCAUCUCUUUAUGGCACCUGGCAUCCGGACGGUGCAGACCGCUAAGGCCAGAGCGGCGGGAAGCACUGUGCCCUGUUUCCUUGCUUACACAGCAGCCUGCCUUUUGGAUGGAUGCCCCUUGGCCACAGCUUGGCUGUAGUUUUCAUCACACCUCCUAAAGAC